AAACUCAAAGGAAUUGACGGGGACCCGCACAAGCAGCGGAGCAUGUGGUUUAAUUCGAAGCAACGCGAAGAACCUUACCAGGGCUUGACAUCCCUCUGACCGGACGGUAACGCGUCCUUCCCUUCGGGGCAGGGGAGACAGGUGGUGCAUGGUUGUCGUCAGCUCGUGUCGUGAGAUGUUGGGUUAAGUCCCGCAACGAGCGCAACCCUUGUCAUUAGUUGCCAGCACGAAAGGUGGGCACUCUAGUGAGACUGCCGGGGACAACUCGGAGGAAGGUGGGGAUGACGUCAAAUCAUCAUGCCCCUUAUGUUCUGGGCUACACACGUGCUACAAUGGCUGGUACAAAGAGACGCAAGACGGUGACGUGGAGCAAAUCCCAAAAACCAGUCCCAGUUCGGAUUGCAGGCUGAAACCCGCCUGCAUGAAGUUGGAGUUGCUAGUAAUCGUGAAUCAGAAUGUCACGGUGAAUGCGUUCCCGGGUCUU
rnacentral:rRNA from 2 species